rnacentral:misc_RNA from 1 species
GAUUCUCUUCUAAAAUUUCCAAUGUUAAGUAUGUAAAAGAGUUCUUGGAAGUGGGUGGUUUACAAACUGGAUGAGAGAGAAAAUCUGUCAGCUAUCCCAACAAAAGGCAAAAUUCAAGCAACCACCCAGAGCCUGCAAAUCUUUAACCAAUUCACAUUGAAACGGCAGGAGCCACAAGCCAGAUUAACCAGAAAGGUUCCUAUGCUACAAGCAAAGCAAACAAAUCAUGAGAAUGAUAGCCAUUAGUGCAGAUUUUAGA